UACGAAGGGGGCGAGCGUUGUUCGGAUUUACUGGGCGUAAAGGGCGCGCAGGCGGCCAUUCAAGUCAGGCGUGAAAGCCCCGGGCUUAACCUGGGAGGUGCGUCUGGGACUGGGUGGCUGGAGAUCGGGAGAGGAGAGUGGAAUUCCCAGUGUAGAGGUGAAAUUCGUAGAUAUUGGGAAGAACACCGGUGGCGAAGGCGGCUCUCUGGACCGAUACUGACGCUGAGGCGCGAAAGCUAGGGGAGCAAACAGG
rnacentral:rRNA from 1 species